UCUGUGUCAGUCUAGCGGUAAGUACGUCAGCUCGUCGUGCCGAAGACUCGGGUUCGAUCCCCGUAGAGAGAG